rnacentral:lncRNA from 1 species
AAGCCACUGUCAGAUGUCAUGGAGAUGAGACCUCACAAGCCUACUCAACGUGAAGAUGAUGAGAAUGAAGACCUUUAUGAUGAUCUGCUUCCACUUAAAGAAUAACCCUGAAACAAGAUGGUGCUGGGAACAUCGUAGGAAAUUAGAUCUAGAUGAUGUGGUCUAGUCUCUUCUCUUGCAUACUCAUGGUGUGUCAUUGGCUUUGGCCAAUGGGAUAUCAGAAAAUGUGAUGCAGCAGAGACUUGAAGAUGCACUGCAGAGGCUAGAUUUAUUCUUUUCUGCUGCAGCAAUUGCCAUGAAGUUGCAGUCCCAGCCUAGCCUGCUGGCCCCAGGAUGAGGGUGAG